rnacentral:lncRNA from 1 species
UGGUCUUCAGGACCCCUCGCCUUUCUUUCCUAAACCCCGGCAGUAGAAGUUGUUUGCUCUCGGUGGGAAGGCUGUGCCCAUGAUCCUCGCCCCAAUCGUCGGAUCCGAAGUGUCGAUCCGGGACAUGGCUUCGGACAUCUCUUCCUCCUGCGUGUCCGGCCAUGUCUCCCUCACUAUAGCACUCAUCACCUCCUCACUAGCCUCCCUCACCUUCGCUAUAUGGAUAACGAAAAAAUUAUUAAUUAACAUUUUGACAUAAAUUUAAAAAUUUAAAAACAUAAGAUCGAUGACUUACAAUAUCCUCCUGGGAGUCAGGAUAUGCCUUCUCGUACGUAUAGACGUACCGGUUGACUUCUGGAUGUUCCCUGGCGGCCUCGUCCAUGAAGACAGCGAACGGUCUAGAACCGCCAUGAUGGUUCCUUGUGUUGCGUUGCCGGUUCUGAGAGUUUGCUCGGGAAACGGCCUUUAAAGAAAAAAUAAAUUAUUAGUAAAAUAUUUAAAAACGGACGUACUUAAUGACAAAUUAACUAAUUAAUUUUUUUAAAUACCUGUUUACGAGGGUUGUUGAAUUCUGAUGUCAGAAGCCAACGCCACUCGUACUCCCUAUACUGGAACUCAGCAGGGGUACUAGAACGUGCGUUCCCGUGCGUAGUCCAAUGGGUCCGCAACUCGUUCUUCCACUCCUUGUACCUACAGAUACAACAAAAAUAUUAGAAAUAUUAUUAAUAUCACAUACAAUUUUGUUUUUCAUUAACUUCCCAACGUACCUUCCCCCAUGCACAACGUCGGCCCAGCUGUCCUUAAGGUGCUCGGGAACCUCAAACCACACCUGUAUUUAACCGUUUAUUAGUUUAGUUUUUCGAGAAAUCAACAAUGUAAUACAUAAUAUUAUUUUGUAAACUCACCGACAUCGCGUUGUGGACCAUAUCCUUAACCUCCUGCGGGACCUCGCCCCAGUCUGACCACAACAUAGGGACUCUAUCCCUAAUGAGCGCUCCCACGCGGCCGGAGUACGUC